rnacentral:rRNA from 1 species
GACGAACCGUACGAACGUUAUUCGGAAUCACUGGGCUUAAAGGGUGCGUAGGCUGCGCGGAAAGUUGGAUGUGAAAUCCCUCGGCUCAACCGAGGAACUGCGCCCAAAACUGCCGUGCUCGAGGGAGACAGAGGUGAGCGGAACUUAGGGUGGAGCGGUGAAAUGCGUUGAUAUCCUAAGGAACACCUGUGGCGAAAGCGGCUCACUGGACCGCAACUGACGCUGAGGCGCGAAAGCUAGGGGAGCAACAGGGAUUAAGAAA